GUUCAUUUCCUACCAGCAAACCCCCAGCGAUGAAAGCAGGCACGAACUGCGGCCUCGUUGCCCACUUGGUCUGCUUCCAUGGGUAGAGCCCACAGUCCAGCUGGGAGAUCCCGGAUCGAGACGUUGCUGACGCUUCACCUCUCUCCCCGUUGCACCGUUUCCCCCCACCCGACAGAGAAAGCCCCAGUGCCGAGGUGGAGGCCCAGCCGCUAGCCCUGCUCGGGAAGGAAGCAGGAGGGAGACAGCCGGGAGGUCGUCAAGAGUUGGCAGCAACGUUAUCUGCUUCCCAGCUGGGGUGGGACACUUCUGCCAGGAAGGAAGAGGAGCUCUGCUCUUCCACUUCUCGGCGUAGUGCUUCAUGGUUGGGAGGUACCAAAUAACUCCCGUAAAACGCUGUCCCGGGUAUGCUCUGCUUCACAGGGCCGAUGGGACAGGAACUUUGGUAUUUCUGCAAAAUCCUUACUCUCUGUCUUGUCCAAAACUACAAAAUAAACAACACAAAGUCUA